AAGUGAAGCAGAGGACAGUGGCGGACGGGUGAGUAACGCGUGAGGAACCUGCCUUUCAGAGGGGGACAACAUUUCGAAAGGAAUGCUAAUACCGCAUAAAAUAACAGUACCGCAUGAUACAGUUAUCAAAGAUUUAUCGCUGAUAGAUGGACUCGCGUCUGAUUAGAUAGUUGGUGAGGUAACGGCUCACCAAGUCGACGAUCAGUAGCCGAACUGAGAGGUUGAUCGGCCACAUUGGGACUGAGAUACGGCCCAGACUCC
rnacentral:rRNA from 1 species